rnacentral:rRNA from 1 species
GUCCUUUUGUUUAUUAAUUUAAGGUCUAGCCUGCCCAAUGAGGAAUUGAAUGGCCGCAGUAUAUUAACUGUGCUAAGGUAGCGUAAUCAUUUGUCUUUUAAUUGAGGGCUGGAAUGAAGGGUUGGACGAGGUAUUAGCUUUCUUUUAUUCAGUUUGAAGAAUUUAAUCUUUGAGUUAAAAAGCUUAAAUUUAUUUGUGGGACGAGAAGACCCUAUAGAUCUUUAUAGUUUUGUAUUUUAAUAAUUUAGGGAUUUAUAUAUUUGAGGUAAAUGAACUAUUUUGUUGGGGUGACUGUGGAAUUUGAGUAACUUCUAUUAUGUAUUUUCAUUAAUUGGUGUUUUUUUGAUCCAUAAUUUAUGAUUAGAAGAUUAAGUUACCUUAGGGAUAACAGCGUAAUUUCCUCGGAGAGUUCAUAUUGAUGAGGGGGUUUGCGACCUCGAUGUUGGAUUAAAAUGAGUUAUGGAUGCAGGAGUCUAUUUACUAGGUCUGUUCGACCUUUAAAUUUUU